UUUGUUUGGUGGCUGAGUCUAAUAAGCGGUAGACUGUAGAUCUAUUAACGGAGUUAAUUCUUCCCAACAAAAC
rnacentral:tRNA from 1 species